CUCUCCCCAGCGGCAGCUUACCUUACCAAGGGGAGAAACCAAUCUCAAGUCCCCACAGCGUGUUUUCCCAUCACCCCAGGGGAAUACCCAGGUGCAGUCACUGUUUGCUUUAAAGCCAAAUACAUCAAAGAGUCAUAGUCACAGGGGAGGAGGCUGGCAAGCAGGCCUCUCCAGGACCAAGUGGCGAAGGGCACUUCGUCACAUAUCUCCCCUUCGGGUGGAAGACUAACCAGGCACCUGACCAGGUUUCUGCUCUGCUCCAGUCCUCCCGCCCCACCACCUGCUCCCUAGAUCCAAUUCCCUUGCUUCUCAUCCAUACUCUUUCUUCUUCUAUUUCUCCAACUCUCACUAAAAUUCUCAAUCUUUCUCUCUCCUCUGGUAUUUUUCCAUUUCCCUUCAAACGUGCAACUGUAACCCCAAUUGACCCUAACUCCCCAUCCAACUAUCGUCCUAUCUCGCUACUGCCUUUUGCAUCCAAGAUCCUUGGAAAAAAUUUGGCUUCCAAUAUCAUUUCUACGCAGAUGACAUGCAAAUCUACUUGUCCUCUCCUGAUCUCUCCCCGUCCCUCUUGACUAGUGUCUCUGACUGCCUCUCUGCUGUUUCUAACUGGAUGGCUGCCUACUUCCUUAAACUAAACUUGACCAAAACUGAAAUUCUGGUCUUUUCUCCCUCAAGUGUUGUUACUCCUGUGUCUGUCUCCCUCAAAGUCAACGGUGCUACCAUCAGCUCCACCACGCAGGCUGGCUGCCUAGGUGUUCUCUUUGACUCCGACCUCUCCUUCAAGCCUCAUGUUCAAUCUAUCGCCAAAUCCUGUCAUUUCCAUCUCGAAAACAUUGCAUCCGCCCCUACUUAAUGCCAGAUGCGACUAAGGUGUUGGUCCAUUCCACUGUCCUUUCUCGCCUUGACUACUGUAAUCCGCUUCUCAGUGGUCUUACGUGCUCCCAACUUGCGCCGUUACAGUCCAUAAUGAAUGCGGCGCCGAGGCUCAUCUUCCUGUCCGCCCGCACCUCUCAUGCCUCACCUUUCUGUCAGUCCUUACAUUGGCUUCCUAUAAAAUAUAGAGCUCAAUUUAAAAUUCUG